UUUCAUGGGUUUCUAAACCCCAUUUCUUAUGAUUUAAGGUAUUGGUUUUAAAAUCAAAAUUUUACUAACCAAACACUAAGUAUGGAUUUAACGCAUUCUAAACCCACACACCUCUUAGAGAGCCAUAUAACAUAUUCCUAUAAACUCCAUCCAUUCAAGUGUUUUUUUUUUUGGAAACCCUAGCCCACUUGGACAAUAACUUAGAUUCUUCCACUUAAGCUAUUGUAAAAAAAAAAACUCGAAGUUAAAAAAAAAAAUAAGAGACUCACGGUGAGGUGACCGUUGUAAACCGCGUCAAAUUCAAUAGUACAUCUCGAUUGCUCUAAUAAUUUAGGUUUACCUCUUUUUCGUUAAUUUCAUCUCGAUUGCUUAAUUUUGAAUUUUUUCUUGAUUCGCUCCUUCAAUUGACGUUUUGGAUUGCUUGCUAUAUUUAUAUUCUCAUUUCUUUUCCGAUUUGUCGAUGAACAAGUUAUUUUCAACGAAACUCUCAAUGCAUCUGAUCGAGACAGCCUCUCAUAUUCUGAAACAGGUUCAAAAAAUUGAGACUCGUAAAAAAGAGUGGCGUUAUUUUGUCCAUUACCUUAUGCAAAAAUGGAUAAAGAGGAACCGAAGAACAAUGCGAUGGGUGUUGUUUGUGGAGGGGAAUACGGACAUGAUGGUUUAUAACCCCCUCUCCGUGCAAUCACAGGUGAGUUUCCUCUUUUGGCUUCUUAUACUUAUCUCUUAGGGCUAUGUAUAGCUUUUUCUAUGAGUUAAUGGUCAUCAAUCUUAAAAUUUCCCUGGCCCUGGUAUUAUGUUUACUCCAACAGCACUGCCCUAACUGGUUCUCUAAAGUUCAAGUUUGACCUUUGAACAAUAACUUUCAGGUUUAAUAAGUCAAGAUAAGCUCAAAUAAGUUCAGAUUAGUUUAGAUAAGUUCAAAUAAUUCCUAACACGUUAUGAAAGUUCCAAUAACUUUCAGGAGAGAAUACGCCUUUAGAUGACUAUCUUUGUUCCUUAUGGUCUUCUUUUAUAUUACUCUACUUUUCAAUAAUUGUAGCUUGCAGGAAUAAUUGUUGUUCAAAAAUAUAUAUAUAAUUAUCAAGAGAUGUUCAAAAUUAAUAUAGUUCCUGUUGUUCAAAAUUUCAAGUGUCACGGCAGCAUUUUUUCAAAUGUAGCUGUCUAUAUUUAAAAAAGUGCGGUUUUAAAAAAAUAUUUCUACCUUCCUUCCCAGCUGGUUUUGUAUUUCAAGAUAAAAGAGUGAUUAAUUUUUUAGUUUCUCAGGAAAAACAAGUGCGAGUAAGUGUGUGCACAGUAAGCUCUUGGUUGUGAGAGGACAUCACUGUUUAAUUCUUGUCUUUAGUGUCUUGUCUCUUUUCGCUCUCAUUAAAUUAAAUAAAAUUAAAUAUACUGUCUUUUUUUGCUCAUUAAAUUGUUGAGUUAUGGUGCGUGGUGUUCAUUUUUGGUGAUGGGGCACAUUUAUACUUUAAAAGAACACAAACUUUUUUUUUCAACAACUUUUCUACUUUAAAAAAAAACACAAGAAUUAAAGAAAAUUAAAGUUAUAUUUAUAAAAGAACAAUGAUAACAAAAUUAUCUUUAGUUGCAAAAUAAUAAUUUUAAAAAUAAUAAAAUGAC